ACAGGUUAAGCUGACGAGUGGCGAACGGGUGAGUAAUAUAUCGGAACGUGCCCAGUCGUGGGGGAUAACUGCUCGAAAGAGCAGCUAAUACCGCAUACGACCUGAGGGUGAAAGCGGGGGAUCGCAAGACCUCGCGCGAUUGGAGCGGCCGAUAUCAGAUUAGGUAGUUGGUGGGGUAAAGGCCUACCAAGCCUGCGAUCUGUAGCUGGUCUGAGAGGACGACCAGCCACACUGGGACUGAGACACGGCCCAGACUCCUACGGGAGGCAGCAGUGGGGAAUUUUGGACAAUGGACGCAAGUCUGAUCCAGCCAUGCCGCGUGCGGGAAGAAGGCCUUCGGGUUGUAAACCGCUUUUGUCAGGGAAGAAAAGGUUCUGGUUAAUACCUGGGACUCAUGACGGUACCUGAAGAAUAAGCACCGGCUAACUACGUGCCAGCAGCCGCGGUAAUACGUAGGGUGCAAGCGUUAAUCGGAAUUACUGGGCGUAAAGCGUGCGCAGGCGGUUAUGCAAGACAGAGGUGAAAUCCCCGGGCUCAACCUGGGAACUGCCUUUGUGACUGCAUAGCUAGAGUACGGUAGAGGGGGAUGGAAUUCCGCGUGUAGCAGUGAAAUGCGUAGAUAUGCGGAGGAACACCGAUGGCGAAGGCAAUCCCCUGGACCUGUACUGACGCUCAUGCACGAAAGCGUGGGGAGCAAAC
rnacentral:rRNA from 1 species